UUUCUAGAAAGAACACCAAAACAAAAGAACGUUUAACCAAGUCAGAGACUCAGUCAGAGGUAAGCUGUUUUGCCUUAAUAGUGUCAGGUGUGGCAAAGAAUACAGAACCUAAUGCAAAACAAGCUUACCUCUCUGCAAAAAGACAUAAAAAAGCUCAUGUCACAAAGCUGUGGUUAUACUUAUUCAAAUAUGGGCGUCACCAAAAUUCCGAGACACUAAACCGGUGAUGAUAAUGUACUAGUCAGAAACGCGGGAUUGAAUCUACUGAACUAAGGUACACCGUACGUAGUCCGUACGCAGAACCUUAUCGGUGUCGGUAUAUAGCUAUUGCUUCUAUCUCUCGAGCCUUGUUGACCAAUGUGUAACGUUGCUGGAUUUAGCUUCUUUCACGUUCCUGUCUCUAUCAUUUUAUAAUGUAAUCGCUUCAUUCAUGUGAUUAAUUAAUUAACUUUUAGCUUUGUAACGCUGUAAAUUGCUAAAUGUCGAUAUGGUAAUAUACUAAUGGUACAAGUCGCAGAAAUAUAAUAAUCAGGUAUAUUACUUAUUCACAUGGAAUACGUAUACGCUCUGUUGUAAAACUCGGACGCCUAGCUGAGUAGGCGUCCGGCUCGGCGCUCGGCGGCAAGCAACCGCGGCGAAUAAGGCCAAUACGGCUCAACUACUCGGUUGACCAACAAGUCGGUCAAAUAACCGCUUAAUCGGUUUGAAACCGAUUUUUAACCGCCUAAAAGGUCGAACAAAUUUAAACUAUUGGGCUUCUUAUAGAUUGAAACCCGAAUGCAAUUUUCGAAACCAACCCUCAAUGACUACUUAUAGGCGUCUACAUCAGCUUUCCUCUUUAAAGUUUACUGAUGUGGGACUCUGUUUCGUAUGUUUCUAAAAAUUUUUUACCUAAAAUUGGAUAAGCCAUGCCCGAGGUUCGAACUCGAUACCUUAUACAACAUCAACAUCAUCAAACACCAGCAGACCAAGGCGUGUUUUGAUGUUUAUGCAUAUAUUUCCUUGUAUAUAAACUUUGUUUCAAUAAAAAAUAAAAAUAUGACACUCAUCUUUGCUAAUAAUUAGUCUUUGUUAAACAAAAUAAAUAUAAAUUUCGAUAAUAACAUACCAAAAACUAUUACAUUCUACUAUAUUUAUAUUAUAUAUCUAAUUUAAAUAUUAUAAUAAAUAAAAUAAUAAUAAAAUUAGUCCCCCUAUAUACCCCUAUUAAUCCCCGAGUUUUCGAUAAAUCGUUAGGCCCGGAAUUACCGUCCGACUAACGCCUAGCGUAUUUUCAAACAGGGCGUAUACGUAUGUAUGUGUAAUGUAGUUAUGUAUUAUUUUAAUUUAUAUAUAAAUGGAAUAUGACGAGAAAGCACAAAAUUGCUUAUAGUAAUAGAAGGGAAUGGUGUCAAUCUUCUGACGUCACUUACGAAGUUACGAUUGUUUUAUACAAAGUAGAAAAGUUACGUUAUUUGGCUUUUAAAGGACUUUAAUCUAUAUUGCCCUACUAUCUCCCUUGUUUAUUCUAUAUUGUCCCACUAAUAACAAACAUUAUCUUCUUUAUUAUAUUUAAAUCGAAAACAUUGGAAAAGACAUAAAACCCCUUAAUGAAUCUAAGAAAUUACAAACUCAAAUCGGAUCAUCCACCCAAACCCAUACCCAAUACGGAUCCCAUCAAUUUAAUAAUAAUAAGUAAAUAAGAAAAAGAAAUCAAAAUCCCUAAUCUUUCCAGCUUCUUCUUCACGAGCCUCCUUCUUCAUUCUUUUUCUGUCUUUUUCAAUUUCUCGCACAACACAUUCUCUGUCUCUGAUGAACCCUCAUUCUAAAAACAGGGACACAGAUUUUAAAUCAGAAUGACGCAUGUACGUUGCUGAGUCUGGCACUCGUUGAAAAUUAAAACUCAAUCGGAGCCUGCGACUCGAUUCCGUCGCUUACAAGUUACAAACGCUUAACGCUUAAUAAAAAUAAGAAGAGAGAGGUCACCACCGAAGCAGUGAAGCCAUUGGUGGAUCUCGCAGCGGAGAAGGCGAUGGUGGUUCUGAGCAGUCAUACAACAAUCGAGGAGAACAAAAGCUCAGCCGGAAGCUAUGACGCGAUUCCGCCGCUUACAACGCUCUAGAAGUUGUGCACGCUUCAGCAAAACAAGAAGAGUUGAUUCACCACCAGAGGGGUGAAUCCGUUGGUAGACUUUUGGGGCAAAGUAGGGGACUGUAGUGGUGAAAUGGUAGAGAAGGCGAUUUGGAGGCUAUGUGGACAUUGUUUCAAAAAAGUAAUUUCCUUUUCACACAAAGGACAUUUUUACCAUACUUGGAUCGAGUUUGUUUAAGAUAGUGUUUGUGAGAUAUGGUUUAAAUCUUUUUGCUAAGCUGUUGGAUUAUCUUUGCCACUGUUUUUUUUUGGUCAAAUCUUUGCCACUGGUUUAGAUAUCGUUUAUGUUCAUAAAUGUGGCGUCAUUCUUGUAAAAUGACAGUAACUGAAUCCGAGAUGCGAUCAUAUGGGUCACUUGCAACGAAGAUUUCAUAUUGGCUGGGUAACUAAAUGUCUUCGCUUUAUGGUUUGAGCUUGUGUUUCUCAUGUUUGUUAGAUUUGAUUUACUAAUUUGGAAAGGAUCAACAAAAUAUCUUCGCAUUAUUCGCAAUGGAAUAGGAACAAAGCUGAUAAAGAAGUUGACAAAGUAUCUGAGGAUGAAGAGGAAGAGAAAUAAGGAUAGAACAUAAGGUUCAAAGGCUUGGAAUAUACUGAUUAUGUGUUAAUUAAGAAUUUAAAAGUGUAGUUUACGAAUAUUGCGUAGGAAAAUUUGUUAUGUUUGUUGCAAAACUAAUUUGGAUAUUUUGAAUGUGA